rnacentral:rRNA from 1 species
UACGGAAUGUGCAAGCGUUAUUCGGAAUCACUGGGCUUAAAGAGUCCGUAGGCGGCUUGUUAGGUGAGGUGUGAAAUCCCCCGGCUCAACCGAGGAAUUGCGCUUCAAACCGGCAAGCUCGAGGAGGAUAGAGGUGGGCGGAACUGAUGGUGGAGCGGUGAAAUGCGUUGAUAUCAUCAGGAACACCGGAGGCGAAAGCGGUCCACUGGGUCCUUUCUGACGCUGAGGGACGAAAGCUAGGGGAGCGAACGGG